rnacentral:rRNA from 1 species
ACUCCUACGGGAGGCAGCAGUGGAGAAUCUUGCACAAUGGGCGCAAGCCUGAUGCAGCCACGCCGCGUGAGGGAAGAAGGCUUUCGAGUUGUAAACCUCUUUCAGCCGUGAAGAAGCGAGAGUGACGGUAACGGCAGAAGAAGCCCCGGCCAACUACGUGCCAGCAGCCGCGGUAAUACGUAGGGGGCGAGCGUUGUCCGGAAUUAUUGGGCGUAAAGCGCGUGUAGGCGGCCCUGUAAGUCGGAUGUGAAAUCCCAGAGCUCAACUCUGGAACUGCAUCCGAUACUGCAGGGCUUGAGGUAGGUAGAGGAAGGUGGAAUUUCCGGUGUAGCGGUGGAAUGCGCAGAUAUCGGAAGGAACACCGAUGGCGAAGGCAGCCUUCUGGGCCUCACCUGACGCUGAGACGCGAAAGCAUGGGGAGCGAACAGGAUUAGAUACCCUGGUAGCGAGUAG